UAUGGGCCCCUUUAGAUGUAAUUCCAAUAUUCAGUAGUCUGAAAGGGAAGGUUUCUCUGAUUCUGAACAAGAGGCCUGGGUGCCAUAGUUUAUCAUGCACUUGUGUGAGGUCUGGGAACACCGCAGAGCAGUACAGUUCAUCUUAUUAUCUGUGCAUUUCGGAGUACUUGUUCUAUGAUAGAGUGUUUCUGUCUGGGAGGAGUCGGGUUUCCUGUACUUCCUGGCGUAAUCUCUUGAGUACUGCUUUUUCGAAGAUUUUGCUCAUUACUGGGAGUAGGCCCAAAGGUCUAUAUGAGCUGGCUUCAGUCGCGGUCUUCCAGAUUCUGGAACCAGGUGAUCUGCGUGACUUUCCAUUGAACUGGCGAAUUUCACGUCCCAAUAGUCUAGUUACAUUUAAAGUGUAACAUGUUGUGUGUGAUUCAAAACCCACAGAUACGAUAUCCCCUUUCAUCAGUGAGACCAUCAGUAGAUGAAUGCACACUGUUUAUACUGUAAUUCUAGGCGUCAUCACAUUGGAUCCACAGUUGCUACCAUACAAAAUUUGAUAUUAAAUAUGGUUACAGUAGUCUGUGGCAUAGCUCAGUUGGUUAGUCAAUUCACCCAUCGUGUUGCACUGGGUUCCAUUCCAGAUAAUGUCUCUUAAUAUUUGUGACGGACAAAGUGGCACUGGAUCGGGUUUUCUCUGUGAGCUCCAGUUUCUCCUACCAGUUCUCAAUCCAUUAUCUGCUACAGAGCUACUCUGUAAUUUAGUGAAUUUUCGCUAGCUUUUGUGAAGUAAAGGCCUCAAUUUUCUUUGUGUAUUCAUGAGCCAGUAUAUGAAAUUUUGAUUGCACUGAUCUAAACAGGCAGUGAAAUAACACUGUAGGUUUUAUUGCCAUGCUGUGAAAUUACCUGGGCUUGCCCUGCUCUCUUAAAGAGAAGACAUUGGCAUUACUGUAAUAAGUGAGAUAUUUGGAGUGUGAAUGUGCAUUUGUAUAGCAUUCUCAUGUUGUUUUAUGUAUUAUUUUUCAGUGUUCAGGACACUCAAACGCUUUUUGUGUGUUGGGGGCACAGUGAACGUAAGUUUCAGACACGCAGUAAUUUAUGCUUAGCCUCUAGCUAGUCUCUAAGUAGCUCACUACAAAGCAAUAACAAUUUUGUCUAAAUGAUGUUGUUGAGUAGUAGCCAUUCUAAGUAGUUGGAGCCGUGGCCGCUUGAGGGCGGAACCUCGUGGGUUGUGGCAUGGUGGUGCCUGUGCUCGCCAGGGAGCAGCAGGACGGUUGCUAGGAGUGAGCGUGCGGAAGCGUGUGUGUUGGCGUCAGGAAGGAAGCAUGCAAAUGGAAACUGGUUGCUAAGUGGCGAUUGCUACUUGUAGGAGUGGUUACACUCCUUCUACUAGGUGGAUAUUUAUUUCUGCCAAAUCAGAUCUCUGACAAGGGCGUCUCUUUGGUAAGUACAAUUCCAGAAUCAUCACGUUGCAGACUUUUAUGAAAUUUGGCCCACUUAAAUUCACUAAGUCUAUAGACUAUCCUCCUAUAGUUCAUGCCGUUAUUAUUAGCCUAUUUCUUUUGUUGUUCGUG